GGUCUGUGUGUGUGGCCGCCCGCCCCGGGAAUGAAGCGGGGCGCGGCGGGCAGAGCGUGUAUGAAGAAGGCCUUCGGGUUGUAAAGUACUUUCAGCGGGGAGGAAGGUGUUGUGGUUAAUAACCGCAGCAAUUGACGUUACCCGCAGAAGAAGCACCGGCUAACUCCGUGCCAGCAGCCGCGGUAAAUAAAAAA
rnacentral:rRNA from 1 species